AAAAAAGACAACCCCUGGUUUCCGUGUCUAACGUUUGACCGUUCGUCUUAUUUGAAAAAAUUAUGAAAAAAAUUAAAAAGACAAGUCACACAUAAAAUAUUAAUCAUGUUUUAUCAUCUAACAACAAUAAAAAUACGAAUUAUAAAAAAAUUUCAUAUAAGACGAACAGUCAAAAUUGGACACGGAAACCCAGGGUUUGCCUUUUU
rnacentral:pre_miRNA from 1 species